rnacentral:rRNA from 1 species
UACGUAGGGGGCAAGCGUUGUCCGGAAUUAUUGGGCGUAAAGAGCUCGUAGGCGGUUUGUCGCGUCUGCUGUGAAAACCUAAGGCUCAACCUUGGGCUUGCAGUGGGUACGGGCAGACUAGAGUGCGGGUAGGGGUGACUGGAAUUCCGUGGUGUAGCGGUGGAAUGCGCAGAUAUCAGGAGGAACACCGAUGGCGAAGGCAGGUC